CCAGACCACGAUCGGACAGAGACUUUGGGACCUGGACUGCAAAUUACUGCCGCUUAGCACAACUUUUAUAAAACUUGCUUAGCAUGAGUAGCUAAAUUUGCUGAAGCCUUAGGCCGCACUCCCUAGUUCAGUGAGAAAGGGCCCCAGAGCUGGUGCAGACUGGAAAGAUAAGGGAGUUACAAGCAGUUUGCAUUCCUAUGCGUCACACUCCGGGAGGGAGGAUGUCAAGGCUUUGAAAUAAGGCCUGCUUGGGCACCAGGACCCUGGGAAACAAAGCCUCCCCUCACUGCUGAAACAGUAUUAAUUAGGGGGGGUCCGGAUUAUAUCCUCUUCGUCAGGACCUUGGAAGAUAACACCUACUGUCACUGCUGGGGCAGUGCUAAUUGCUGGAACAACACCUGUUUGUCAGGGCCUUGAGAGAGAAGGGCAGAACCCAAGGAAUCAAAACACAUCUGUCAGAAAGAUAAGGGAGAAAAGCAGCCUGCCUAGGAACAACGAUGAGACCCAAUAGGGAGCAGGAGACCCCAGACCCAAAAAUUACUAUUGGCCUGAACUACCACGUGAGGGGUGGGAAACUUAAUUUGAAAAAGCUAUAAUUGCCCAGGGAUUUCUUUGUUCGGGGUCCCUCUUCAGAGGCACCCAACUCGAGCUGUAACUACUGCAUGCGUGUCAUUACAAUUUAUUUAUUUAAUUUGCCUUGAUUUGGCUCUGAACUUUUCAGCGGGAACCUAGGGUCGGACCCUGCUCGAGUUGUAAUUACUGCACGCGCAUCGCUAAAAUUUACACCCAGGGUGAAGAGGACCAACGGGACGCCGCUGGAUCCACAGUGAAUUGCUUCAUUGAUGGGUGUUUUUCUGCCUUCUAAGAUGAUGCUGGAGGUUAGGGAGUCUGUUGAAAAUAUCCAUAGAGGCUCUGCAUACUUGCCUGUUCAGCUGCAUGAGAUGGAGGAAUAAAUGCAAAGUUUAUGUCAAAUCCUGAAAACAGUCAAGACGUCUCAAAGAGUAAUCAGGAACAGUGGUGAUCAUGGCUUCUCAUGGAAGGAAGGAAGGAAAGAGAAAAAGAAAGAAAGAAUGAAAGCCAGAAAAAGAGAAUGGGAAAGAAGGAGGAAGGGAAGGAGAAAGCUAUUCAGGUUCACCUUACACAAAAAGGAAUACAUCACAGCCAGCAUUCUGAGAUCUUAACCCAACUCUGAACAACAGUAGUAACUGAAUUCAUGUCGGUCACAUUGGAAUCAUGCCUAGUUAUAUUACAGAUAAGUACUGAAGUAAUACUGGCUACCAUAAGAUGCAUGAGAGACCCAAUAUUUUUAAGUGUAUAGUACAGUAAGUAGUAGCCACCAUCAAUAUUCAUAGGUUGUUUUUAUUUUAUAGUUAAUGUAUCAUUUUCCUUGUCUAUUUGAAACCAUGUUGCUUACUAAACAAAAGUUCUGUAUUUUCCACUGCUCUAACACCAUAUGCUAUUUGAAACAUAUCUUCUAAGUGAAUUCAUCAAUAAAAUGUUUUAAAAUGUAGCAUUAUGCAAUAUGCUACUGGAUUUUAGAAAAAUCUUUUCACAGAAGCAACAUUUGAAUUUUGAAAUGUGAAAAGAACAUGGAAGUGCCUCAAGGACAAAGCACUUUUCAUAUGUCCUGAGAUCAAUGAAUACAAGAUUUCCUCUAAAUUAUAAAAAGAGAUAGGAAAGCUAAGCCACUGUUUUUGUUCAGAAUGCAGAAACAAAAUACAGGGCAAUGUUGUUAACGGUGAGAAAGGCAGUCUCAAGCUUCAUCAUGCUUCAUCCUCACUUUAUUGGAAAAAUGAUAAAAUAUUGUAAAGACUAAGUGUCCACUUAUGAAAGAACAUACAACAAGUGAAGGGCUAUGACUGUGAUUUACCUAAGCAUUUUCUUUUAACAGCAUUUCUGUGCCAUUUUCUUCCACCUGGUUGGAUCUGAGCAGCCAGACAUAUGUUAGAAUUGAACUUUGGAGUCACAUAUGUAGACAAGCAUGUAUGUCUGUUAGCACACCCACACAGUUUGUUCUGUGGAGUCUGUUUCCAGAUGCCAUCUUUCUUCCUUGGAAAAAUGUGAGCUGACUGGGGAAAAUGUAAGUAAUGACAGCUAGGAAAAACAUAUUUUAAAACCACCACUUGUGUUAGAGAGGUUUUAUUCUGUUGGAAACUCAAUUUCAUGUCAUUGCCCAUACAAGUUUUUAAAGCAAGGAAGAUUGCAAAAGAGUUUAGUUUUUAGCAUUAGUUUAGCAUUUUAGCAUGACUAAUUAUGGGAAAAAAAACCUAUUCAUCUUCCUAGGUAACUGCACAUUGUAUAUAAAUAUGUAUGAUACAUACAUAAUAUAUAUGAUAAAUUAGGUUCUUUAGUGUCAAAUUCUUUUUGUUUUCGGCUCACACAGAGAAAGAUUCAUUCCACCCAACUUCUGAUGUCUAGAAGUUAAGCAUCUAAGUCCAAAUAAGUCAUUCUGGAAUUUCUUCAUAGGCACUUUAGAGAAAUAAGUAUCUCCAGAUGGAGAUUUAUCUCCUAUUAGCAUAGACAUCUAAGAAAGGUCAAAUGAAUCACUCUCUAGAGGUGCUUACUUCUGUUCAUUACAUCCAGGCUGACUAGUUAAGACUACAAUACAUAAUUUUGGCAUAUUUAAAGAUAAGUGAAUCCCACAUCAUAUAUGAUAAACACAGAAAUCAUGUGCCAUAGAACAUCCCAAUGUGUCAAAUGGCAAAUUUUCUUUUAUUACAUGUUUUAUAUAAAAAUAGAAGGUAUAAUAAAAGAGGAGUAAAUUCAAUGUUGGUAGUAUUUUCAUUUUCUUUGAAAAUGACUUUGUGAAAUUUACAGUCAUGGGGACAUAGGUCUUUUAAGAGAAACAGGCCUAGCUUACUGCAGCAUGCCCAAUCAGUAUCUGUUCAAUCAGAGACAGGCUGAACCUGUAGCUUUUCUCAUCAUUCUUAGUAAUAGCAUAAGAUUCUUUGCUCAAAGCAGCACCUGAAAUCAGGAUCCUCAUUUAAUAAUACUCACUUAAAAAAAAGCACAUAACUUUUCUAGGAACAGUUCACUACACUCAAGUAGUUCUGUCUUGACAAAUAAACAACAUGACUGAAUUUCAUCUCAUCUAAGGUUAGACAAGUUGCCUACAUUUGGGCUAGUUACCUACAAUCUUUUAACAAUAAAUGUAAAGAAAUAGGUACUUAAAGCAUAUUAUUCAUCUCAUCCUAAAUUGAGCACCCAAAAUAGACCAUAUUAAUUGUUCCUCAUAUGUCUGCAUAUCUCCUUUGAGUAUAGGACUAUAGACUGACUUGCUCAAAUGUAGAUAUUCUAACUAUCCUAAAUAUUUUCCUCUGGCUGGUCAAAAUCACUAGCAGACCUUCGGUUUGGUGAAACCAAUAUUUCAUUGAAAAUUCAGAUGACAGCCAGCCAUGGGACUUGGUAAGUACAUACAGCAAACAAAAUGUAUAUGCUGUACAAAGAUAGCAUAGAAGUCUUUGACCAAAUUGUAUUAGGAAAGUUCAUUAGGAAAGUUUAUGAAAGUUUUCUAAGAAAAUAUGUCCAAGUUUAAAAUUUGAUGAAAAAUAAGGGGAACUUUUGGCACACAUUUUGAGGUCAUUUCUAGAAACUUCAAUGAAAGAUGAAACUUAUUUAAUUUGUAAAGGUGAUUUCAUAUUUUGAACUCUUCUGUUUUAUACAGGAUUCGUAUUAUGAAACAAAACUCAAAUUCCUAAAUCUAGCGUCAAUCUCUUCUACUUUACUGCAUUGUGUUUGUGUCCAUACACCAGUUUUUCAGUGUUUUUUUUUUUUUCCCUUGCAUCUAAGACAGGAUAUAAAGAAAUAUCAUUUGACUAUAGAGAACAGAAUGAGAUCUAUAUGCAAAAAGUUGUAUAUAUAAUUAAUUUGCCUGCAACUGCUUUCUUAGGUCACAUACGUAUUUUUCUCAUAAAAAACUGCUUAAAGUGUGGAAAGUUUAGAUCUGACACUGACCCUUUAAAUUCAUUAACACUUUGAUUAAAAUUAUGGAAAAAAAGAGUUAUGAAUUUCUCCAUAAAGUAAGCUGUUCUAUAUUAAAAAAGUAACAAUUAGUGACAUGUCAAUUCUAAACACAGAUAAAAUUUUUCAAACCCUUUGAGUACCACUGACUUUCAAUGAAUUAUAAGGUUUGAAAGUACUUUCUAACACUGAAGUCACUAAAGUGGACUGUUUCCAUUGCUGUUUCAUACUUCAAAUAAACAAAAACGAAUAAAAAGAAGCAGAACCCCCUUGGUUUACACAAGGAGCUCUUCUUCCAUAACUUUCUGGAAAAAAAAAUCGAGUUCCUAUUUACUCUUUAUUAUAAAAAAUGAACUUUUAUAGGUUUUUUUUUUUUUUUACUGAAUUAUUUUCUUUUCAGCUCUGAGUCUUUAAACUUAGAGAAGUCAAAGUGCUGCAGAUCCAAGUCAUAUAAUAAUUAACCUGGAACCUUUAUUCUCCUGAGUCCUUUAUAUUUUUUUCUGCAAUUUCUUUUUUCCUGUUGCUGAAGAGAAGGCUAUUCUUAGCAAAUGUUGUAUUCUAUAGCACAUGCUUAUUUGCCCUAAUAUGUUAAGGGCUAUAGACAUUUAGUAAAUCACAUAUUCUUGCAUAAACAGCACACAUUCAACAUAAUAGCAAAUAUCUGAGGAAGGUUUCAGGCCACUGCUGGAAAGAUUUUUAAGUGAUUAACAACAACAGAGAUACAUUUUUAAAUCUUUAUUCUUUUACUGGAAGCUUUAGAAUCAUACGGACAUUGUGUGUGUGUGUGUGUGUGUGUGUGUGUAUAUAAGUAUAUAUUGAAGAAUGAGGAUAUUAUUAAAACAAUUUGGUUUCCUGAAUAUUUUUGGGGGUUUUUUUUUGUUUUUUUUUUUUUAAAGAUGCAGAAAGAAUAUCUGUGCAUCUCUUCAGAGGCACGGUGCCACAGUAGUUUCUGGUUGGCUGGGGGUGUGGUUUGUCUUAGGAAGAAGUAUACUGUAAUAAUUAACAAAAGUGAAAAGGGAAAGAAUAUGAAAACUUAUUUCUGUUACUGUUCUUGUGUCAGCUUCAGACCUUGCAGCAGAUCCUGUAUCUCUGUGGUGCUCAAAUAUAUUCAGUGAGAUAUUGGCAAAAAGAGAUCUGCAUGCAACGAGUCCUAUGGUCUUUGAUGCCCUGAGGAGAUUAAGUACUGUAUCUAUGAGAGCAAUUUUGUUCAGAGCAAUAGUGUGAUUUCAAAAGCCACUUCUUGUGCAUUAGUUUGGUUCUCAAAGGAGAUUUAAUGUAUGCAAACAAGAUUCCACGUGGAGAAGAUGAAACCAGAAUCCUUGCCCCAAAACUGCUCCAAAUGUAUUGCAGUUCUUGGUGGGGUCUGAGUGAGCCUCUGUGCAAAAAAGGUCUUCUAUUGUGUUUCUAGGACAAAUAUGCAUAUAUAAGGCCCUUGAAUCAAGAGAGGCCCCACUGCACCCUGAAGUGGUACUUGUGCUAUGUAAAGCACCAUGCCAUGUGUGCCUGCCUUUUUGCUGUUAAUUGCUAACUCUCUAAUCUGCUUCUCCUUACUCAACCACCUAUACUUCUGCUUAAAACUUUUUGCCUUCUAUUAUGUUUUGUUGCUAUCCUGUAUUGCUGAAUACCUCAUUUUGGUUUUUUUUUCUUUGAUUACCCCUCUUUUUGAGUUUCUCUUUUCUGCAAUAUCUACCCUUUCAGCACCCUUUCUGAAAAUCAAAAGCGAAUGCAACCUGAUACUCUGAGGGAACAAUACUGGUUAUAAAUCUGUGAAGACAGAGGUCCAGAAGUUUUUCAGAUAGUCUGACUGUAGUAUCAAAAGGUUCCUAACCAUAUGUCUGCCUCCACCUACAAGAUCAAUUGAUAUUGGUCCAAAUUAUUUGCCAAAGUGCACAUAAUCAAAAUCUGUUUGCAUGGUACCUAUCACAGAAAACUAGGCUUUAGGAUUUUAAAUGUCAGCUUAGAGGAUGUUGUAAUGCAUACUUAAAUAUUCAGUUCAUUAAGUCUACUGCUUAAUCAGAAGUUAUUUUCAUACUUCUUUAAAUGGCCUGAAUUAUUUUGCCUGUAAUAAAAUACUUCAUAUGAUAUCUAUGGUAAUUUUGCUGUCUCUUUCACUGGAGUUGUAGUCAAGUCUUUCUGUAAUUUCAAUUGUGUGAGACAAGGUUUCAACAUGGAUACACACUGAAUGGUAAGAAAGAUAAGAUCAAUACAUGCAAUAUGAGAAGGGACUGAAAAAGUUAAGGUUUCCAGUUCCAGAAAAAGUAUUCAUUAUUAUAGGAUUGUGGACUCUACUUAAGAUUGCCUGAUACUUAAAGCGAACAUACUGAAAUUCAGUAUUUUAGUAACUAAGCUAUUUCUGUACUCAUUAAUUAAACAGUGGCAUGUAAUAUUCUCAGGUGCUGACACUUGAUCAUCUAUACUGUUUCCCUGUUAGAAAGGUCUUUGAUAUGAUUUUGUAUCCUGGACAUGAUUCAGAAGUCAGCAUGGGCCAUGGAGCAAUUUCAACAGCAAUUUUUGUUUUGGAAGACUGUUACUGUACUUAUCUCCUGCAGCCUAGGAAUUCAAAAGUUUCUUAAGACUGCACAUGUACUAAACAAUAAUGCUGCACAGCUAACAGAGGCAGACUCCCUGCUGCAGAGGACGGAGGCACCUAUCUGCUGACCUGCCCUCUUGUCUAGAGAGCUUUGUUGCCUGUCAGGAGCUCGAUUACAAGAUGUCAUGGAAAGACUGUCAAGGCUUGUCUGUGCAUCAGGCACCCUCUGCUGCUCUUCCAUGUGGGCAAUAACGAUACCAAGGGCAAACUGGAAACCCUCAAACAGGAUUUCAGAGCUCUGGGGAUGGUGGUCAAGGCUCUGGGAGCCUAGGUCAUUUUCUUCUCAAUCCUACCAGUGAGGGGGAAGGAUGGGAGUAGGAGUAGAUGGAUUUUCCAAGUUAACAACUGGCUGCACCACUGGUGUUGGCAACAGGGCUUUGGUUUCUAUGACUGUGGGACCCUGUUUGAAGAUCGACAACUGAUGAGGAGAGAUGGCAUCCACUUCACUAAGGUGGGGAUGUGUGUCUUUGCCAACAGGGUGGCCAGCUUGGUAAGGACAGCUUUAAACUAGGAAAGAUGGGGAAGGGGAGAGUUAUAGAGACAGUGUAGUCAGCAAAACAUGGCUCAGUUUGGGAUACCUGCAGCGGGUGCACGCAGCCAAGGAAGUGAAUACAGGACAUGACUAUGGAGGAUCCCCUUGCACCCCUUCUGGGAAACCUGCAUGCUUGAUUACCUCCCUGAAAUGCCUGUACAUCAAUGCAGGCAGCAUGGGGAAUAAACAGGAAGAAUUAGAGAUCUGUGUGAGGUUGCAGGGCCAUGAUCUUAUUGCAAUUACAGAGACAUGGUAGGAGAGCUCAUAUGAUGGGAAUGCUGUCAUGGAUGGCUAUGUGCUUUUUAGGAAAGACAGGCCAAGAAGGUGAGAUGGUGGAGUUGCUCUUUAUGUGAGAGAGCAAUUGGAAUGUAUUGAGCUCUGCCUACGGGUGGAUGAAGAGCGAGUUGAGAGCUUAUGGGUAAGGAUUAAAGGGCAGGCUAACGUGUCGUGGAUGUUCACUACAGGCCACCUGAUCAGGAAGAAGUCGUCGAUGAGGCCUUCUGUAGACAGCUGGAAGUAGCCUCAUGAUCACAGGCCCUGUUUCUCAUGGGGGACUUCAACCACCCUGAUAUCUGCUGGAAAGACCACACAGAUAGGCACAAAUAGUUCAGCAGGUUCCUGCAGAGUAUUGACAAUAACUUCUUGACACAGGAGGUGGAGGAGGCAACAAGGAGAGGUGUGCUGCUGGACCUCAUACUAACAAACAAAGGAGGACUGGUUGGAGAUGUGAAGGUUGGGAGCAGGCAUGGCUACAGUGACCAUGAGAUGGUGGAGUUCAGGAUCCUGCGAGGAGGAAGCAGGGCAAUAAGUAGGAUUGCAACCCUGAACUUCAGGAGAGCAAACUUUGGCCUCUUCAGGGACCUACCUGGAGGAAUCCCAUGGGUUAGGGCCCUAGAAGGAAGGGGGGUCAAAGAGAGUUGGUUAAUAUUCAAGCAUCACUUCAUCCAAGCUCAAGAUUGGUGUAUCCCUAUGACAGUCAAACAAAGGGCACAGGAGACCUGCAUGGAUGAGCAAGGAGCUCCUGGCAAAACUCAAACAGAAGAAGGAAGUAUACAGAAGGUGGAAAAAGGGACAGGCCACUUGGAAGGAAUAUAGGAGCAUUGUCAGAGUAUGCAGGGAUGCGACGAGGAAGGCUGAGGCCCAUUUGGGAUUAAAUCUGGCAAGGGAUGUCAAGGACAACACAAAGGGCUUCUUCAAAUACAUCAGCAGCAAAAUGUGUACCCUCUGCUGGGUGGGUAUUCUGGUGACGAAGGAUACAGAGAAGGCAGAGUUACCGAAUGCCUUCUUUUCUUCAGUCUUUACUGCUAAGGGUCUGCUUUCCAGGGUCUGGGAUUCCUGCAGACUGGCCUUCUCUGUAUCCUUUGUCACCAGAAGCAAGAGAGAAAGUCUAGAGAAAGGAAGACUUUCCAGUAGUCUAGGAGGAUUGGGUUAGAGAUCAUUUAGGCAAACUUGACACCCACAAAUCCGUGGGCCCCAGUGGGAUGCACCCAUGAGUGCUGAGGGAGCUGGCAGAUACUAUUGCUAGGCCACUCCCCAUUAUCUUUGAAAGAUCAUGGAAAACAUGUUUACGAAUAGCUCUGCACAAUGAAUGUUUUCUGGUCGAGUGAUAGAUAUUUAUGCAUCUUAAUUUUUUUUCAUUUUAUGAUGGAUAGUAAUUACAGAUUACAUAAAUAAUAGCUAUAUAUGUGUGUGUGUAUAUAUAUAUAUAAAUAAAUACACAUAUACACAAACGUAUAUAUAUAUAUAAUCUUUAUAUUUCUCCAAACCACAUGAAAUGGUUUUGAAUGGUAGUGCACUGAAACACUGGUAACCAAGCAGAGUCACUCACUGCUGAGAAAUCACUGGUAUCCAGAACUUCAAAGUGUUCAAAUCUGAUCUUUAAAGCAGACAUAAAAUCAUUUUGCAGAAGUGUGAAUAUUUGGUAAUAUAACUUUCAUGUAAUGUUAGAAAUUUUAAGAUCUAUUAUCUAUAGAUUAUAUAAUGCACUUAUUCUUGUUUUUAUUCAGAGAGAGUGAAUAAGACAUAUGACCUUUAGUCAGAGUUUUCAACAUGAUUUUGCCUGCUGUAAUUACUUUAGUUCUUCAACUUUAGAGGAGAAAAGCUGAAUUCCUAAAACUUUCUUAAAACUAGAAUCUUUUAAAAUAUCUUACAAUGAGAAAUCUUUACUUCUUUUGACCAGUCCCAGUAAGUAGAUAUUGUUACAAAAAAUAUUAAGUUCUUACCAUUUUAUAACUUGUCACCCAGAUAUUUAUCUACCUUUGUGCAAAAUUGAUAUAGAAAGUUAGCAGAACAGAACAGUAGACUUCAAUAUAACUAUCUAGUCUGUCAAACUUCAGACUAUCAUAUCCUAAAAGAGUCUUAUUUAUCAUGUAAUGUAAUCAAUAGUUAAUAAUAGACUUCAGUCAAUGAAAGUUGAUAUUUGAAGUGCAAAAAGCAAAAAAUAGAUAAGGUUUUGAUGUACUCUACCAUUUCAUUUCUAGCAACCAGCUUUUGCUGGGAACCUAUACACCUGGCUUCUUGCACAAUAGGGUUGCUAUUAGGUACAUGAGGAUGCAAUAAAAAAUAUCAGUAAGUGUGAAGAAAAUGAUGUAAUAUUAGCCAACAGGAAAUACCGAACACAAGUAUAUUUGAAAAACACCUUUCUUCGGAUGUUUUUCACUUCUCUGCUGUUUAUCAGCAGAUAAGAAACUCAUAUAAAUGUGGUAGAUAUGGCAUCAGGCUGAGUCCUACUGGAGUGGAAGUGAUCAGCCAGGUGGGAUACUACAGUACAUAUUAUAUGGCACUAAGCAUCUACAAAUGAGCAAGCGAAUUUUGCCUACCUUGUCAAUAUAUGUUAGAGGUUCUCUAAUGCUAAUGGAAUUAUUCACCUUUAAGGGAUUAAGUGGAGAAAUACCUAGCUGAUGUUUCCAGACUUCAGCUGGGCUACAGAAGAAGAUAAAUGCCAAAUAUCUGAGACUGUUUGGACAGCAAUAUUUAGGCUGCGGCCUAAAUAAACAUAAGCAGAAGUUUCCUAAAUGCCUAGAGAACUGUAGCAUCAAAUGGGAAGAGAUUGUCACAAAAUAGUGGCAGCUACCCAGCAGUUACUGGGAUUUUGAACCUGGAAUUAGGUACUUCACCUGUACACAACUCUUUAGUCACUUACAGCUCAGCUCAGCCUCCUAAACAUAGCUGUCUUGUACCAUUCAGGAUGCUGUAGGGAUAAUCAAAGACAUCUGCAUGCAAGUGGCAGAGAGAACCCAGGGCCCCAGAGAGACCAGUGGCUUACUAGUGCAACAGCUGAAGGCCAUAAGAGUCCAUAGGGGAACCUUAAAUAGCUCAGGACACCUGUGUGUGGGCAAAUGAAUUGAGAUCCCACCAGCUGUUCAGCUGAACAGCUAGCUAGGUUCCACUGGAGCACUAGGGAGUAGAGUCAGGUUGGGAUUCAGCUGAACAGAAGUAGACAUCUAGUAGCAUCAGAGAGAGAAGUCAGUGGUAUCCUGCAUGGCCUCCAGAAACUUCACCAGAUUAAUGUGCGGUAUACAGUAAUCCAAAAUCAAGUGUUCCAUUUACACCAAAGAUGAAAUGAAAACUUUAUAUGUAUAUUUCAAAACCUUGAUUUUUAAUAAAGAUUGAGUCAA